rnacentral:rRNA from 1 species
GCAGUCGAGGGGUAACAGGGGUUUCGGCCCGCUGACGACCGGCGCACGGGUGAGUAACGCGUAUGCAACCUACCUGUAACAGGGGGAUAGCUCCCUGAAAGGGGAAUUAACACCGCAUAAGACUACGCUACUGCAUGGUAGCGUGGUAAAAUAUUUAUAGGUUACAGAUGGGCAUGCGUGACAUUAGCUAGUUGGCGGGGUAACGGCCCACCAAGGCAACGAUGUCUAGGGGUUCUGAGAGGAAGGUCCCCCACACUGGUACUGAGACACGGACCAGACUCCUACGGGAGGCAGCAGUGAGGAAUAUUGGUCAAUGGGCGCAAGCCUGAACCAGCCAUGUCGCGUGCAGGACGACUGCCCUAUGGGUUGUAAACUGCUUUUUUACGGGAAGAAAACCAGCUACGUGUAGUUGUUUGCCGGUACCGUAGGAAUAAGCAUCGGCUAACUCCGUGCCAGCAGCCGCGGUAAUACGGAGGAUGCGAGCGUUAUCCGGAUUUAUUGGGUUUAAAGGGUGCGUAGGCGGAAUAGUAAGUCAGGGGUGAAAUACUGCAGCUCAACUGUAGAAUUGCCUUUGAUACUGUUAUUCUUGAGUAUAGAUGAGGUAGGCGGAAUGUGGGGUGUAGCGGGUGAAAUGCAUAGAUAUACGCACAGAACACCGAUUGCGAAGGCAGCUUACUAAACUAUCACUGACGCUGAUGCACGAAAGCGUGGGUAUCAAACAGGAUUAGAUACCCUGGUAGUCCACGCCGUAUACGAUGAUUACUGGUUGUUUGCGAUACAUUGCAAGUGACUGAGCGAAAGCAUUAAGUAAUCCACCUGGGGAGUACGUCGGCAACGAU